rnacentral:lncRNA from 1 species
CAAAACUGAGAAAAAAACUAUCUCAUGAAUUAUGACAGCUUUGUCCUGAAUACAUUAACAUUAAUACCUUAUUUUUCUUUCCGCAUUUUACACAGGAUUAUUUGCAUUCAUCAACAAGUGGUGGCUGAGGAAUGGCUUCACCCCUCCUACAUGGCUUGGCGAGGACUGGUGAUGGGUGACCCUUACCUGAGGAAUCACUGCAACAUCUUGAGGCACCUGUGCUGUUUUCCAUCUGCAGGUGCAGCAUGGAUCUGUCCUCGUGCUGCUGCAGCCGGUGUGGUUGGAAGGGCACCAGGGACCUGGCUCUGA